rnacentral:rRNA from 1 species
UACAGAGGAUGCAAGCGUUAUCCGGAAUGAUUGGGCGUAAAGCGUCUGUAGGUGGCUUUUUAAGUCCGCCGUCAAAUCCCAGGGCUCAACUCUGGACAGGCGGUGGAAACUACCAAGCUGGAGUACGGUAGGGGCAGAGGGAAUUUCCGGUGGAGCGGUGAAAUGCGUAGAGAUCGGAAGAACACCAGUGGCGAAGGCGGUCUGCUGGGCAGUUGCUGACACUGAGGCGCGACAGCGUGGGGAGCAAACAGG